rnacentral:rRNA from 1 species
AUGUGCCAGCAGCCGCGGUAAUACGUAGGGUCCAAGCGUAUAAUCGGAAUUACUGGGCGUAAAGCGUGCGCAGGCGGUUGUGCAAGACCGAUGUGAAAUCCCCGAGCUUAACUUGGGAAUUGCAUUGGUGACUGCACGGCUAGAGUGUGUCAGAGGGGGGUAGAAUUCCACGUGUAGCAGUGAAAUGCGUAGAGAUGUGGAGGAAUACCGAUGGCGAAGGCAGCCCCCUGGGAUAACACUGACGCUCAUGCACGAAAGCGUGGGGAGCAAACAGGAU